CUAAACACAAUUCAUUAAUAUAAAUUGCUUUUUCAGAUAAUGGAGACUAUUUUUGGGACAAGCCUUCCAAAGUGGGAGUAGAGGCUACUUUUCCUAAUGGAACUCAGUUUAAAAGAGGUCGGGGUUUGGGAACCAGUGCUUUUAUAACCUUUAAGAGGCUGAGAAGCAGAGAUUUUAUAAAAGGAAAUGAUGCCUAUUUUCUACUGACAGUGGAAGAUAUAUCGUUCCUUAAUUCUACGAGCAUUCAGCCAACCCCAACCCCAACCUCUAGUGGAAAUAAGAACCUCUGCAUAAACUUUGAGUGUCAGAAUGAUGGUAUCUGUACUGUCCAAGAGAACAAAGCUGUGUGCAGGUGUCCGGCAGGUGAAGACUGGUGGUACAUGGGAGAAAGGUGUGAAAAGAGGGGCUCAACUCGUGACACUAUUGUCAUUGCUGUUUCCUCUACUGUCACUGUGUUUGCUGUCAUGUUGAUUAUCACCCUUGUCAGUGUCUAUUGUACCAAGAAGAAAUACCGUAAAAAGAUCAGUUCAGAUACAACAGGUGGAGGCAUUUUGAAGAUUAACCCGCAAUAAGGCCAGCAAAUGAAACUUAAAAAGCUUUCUUCAUCAUGAAUUUCACCUGAAAUGAGUUAACAGC